rnacentral:rRNA from 1 species
UAACACAUGCAAGUCGAACGGAAAGGCCCUGCUUUUGUGGGGUGCUCGAGUGGCGAACGGGUGAGUAACACGUGAGUAACCUGCCCUUGACUUUGGGAUAACUUCAGGAAACUGGGGCUAAUACCGGAUAGGAGCUCCUGCUGCAUGGUGGGGGUUGGAAAGUUUCGGCGGUUGGGGAUGGACUCGCGGCUUAUCAGCUUGUUGGUGGGGUAGUGGCUUACCAAGGCUUUGACGGGUAGCCGGCCUGAGAGGGUGACCGGCCACAUUGGGACUGAGAUACGGCCCAGACUCCUACGGGAGGCAGCAGUGGGGAAUAUUGCACAAUGGGCGGAAGCCUGAUGCAGCAACGCCGCGUGCGGGAUGACGGCCUUCGGGUUGUAAACCGCUUUCGCCUGUGACGAAGCGUGAGUGACGGUAAUGGGUAAAGAAGCACCGGCUAACUACGUGCCAGCAGCCGCGGUGAUACGUAGGGUGCGAGCGUUGUCCGGAUUUAUUGGGCGUAAAGGGCUCGUAGGUGGUUGAUCGCGUCGGAAGUGUAAUCUUGGGGCUUAACCCUGAGCGUGCUUUCGAUACGGGUUGACUUGAGGAAGGUAGGGGAGAAUGGAAUUCCUGGUGGGGCGGUGGAAUGCGCAGAUAUCAGGAGGAACACCAGUGGCGAAGGCGGUUCUCUGGGCCUUUCCUGACGCUGAGGAGCGAAAGCGUGGGGAGCGAACAGGCUUAGAUACCCUGGUAGUCCACGCUGUAAACGGUGGGUACUAGGUGUGGGGUCCAUUCCACGGGUUCCGUGCCGUAGCUAACGCUUUAAGUACCCCGCCUGGGGAGUACGGCCGCAAGGCUAAAACUCAAAGGAAUUGACGGGGCCCCGCGCAAGCGGCGGAGCAUGCGGAUUAAUUCGAUGCAACGCGUAGAACCUUACCUGGGUUUGACAUGGAUCGGGAGUGCUCAGAGAUGGGUGUGCCUCUUUUGGGGUCGGUUCACAGGUGGUGCAUGGCUGUCGUCAGCUCGUGUCGUGAGAUGUUGGGUUAAGUCCCGCAACGAGCGCAACCCUUGUUCACUGUUGCCAGCACGUUAUGGUGGGGACUCAGUGGAGACCGCCGGGGUCAACUCGGAGGAAGGUGGGGAUGACGUCAAGUCAUCAUGCCCCUUAUGUCCAGGGCUUCACGCAUGCUACAAUGGCUGGUACAGAGAGUGGCGAGCCUGUGAGGGUGAGCGAAUCUCGGAAAGCCGGUCUCAGUUCGGAUUGGGGUCUGCAACUCGACCUCAUGAAGUCGGAGUCGCUAGUAAUCGCAGAUCAGCAACGCUGCGGUGAAUACGUUCCCGGGGCUUGUACACACCGCCCGUCAAGUCAUGAAAGUUGGUAACACCCGAAGCCGGUGGCCUAACCGUUGUGGGGGAGCCGUCGAAGGUGGGACUGGUGAUUAGGACUAAGUGA